rnacentral:rRNA from 1 species
AUUGAACGCUGGCGGCAUGCUUUACACAUGCAAGUCGAACGGUAACAGGGAGCUUGCUCCGCUGACGAGUGGCGAACGGGUGAGUAAUGUAUCGGAACGUACCCAAGAGUGGGGGAUAACGUAGCGAAAGUUACGCUAAUACCGCAUACGAUCUAUGGAUGAAAGUGGGGGACCUUCGGGCCUCAUGCUCCUGGAGCGGCCGAUAUCUGAUUAGGGAGUUGGUGAGGUAAAGGCUCACCAAGGCGACGACCAGUAGCUGGUCUGAGAGGACGACCAGCCACACGGGGACUGAGAAACGGCCCAGACUCCUACGGGAGGCAGCAGUGGGGAAUUUUGGACAAUGGGGGCAACCCUGAUCCAGCAAUGCCGCGUGAGUGAAGAAGGCCUUCGGGUUGUAAAGCUCUUUUGUCAGGGAAGAAACGGUGCGGGCUAAUAUCCCGUGCUAAUGACGGUACCUGAAGAAUAAGCACCGGCUAACUACGUGCCAGCCGCCGCAGUAA